rnacentral:rRNA from 1 species
CCUACGGGAGGCAGCAGUAGGGAAUCUUCCGCAAUGGACGAAAGUCUGACGGAGCAACGCCGCGUGAGUGAUGAAGGCUUUCGGGUCGUAAAACUCUGUUGUUAGGGAAGAACAAGUGCUAGUUGAAUAAGCUAGCACCUUGACGGUACCUAACCAGAAAGCCACGGCUAACUACGUGCCAGCAGCCGCGGUAAUACGUAGGUGGCAAGCGUUAUCCGGAAUUAUUGGGCGUAAAGCGCGCGCAGGUGGUUUCUUAAGUCUGAUGUGAAAGCCCACGGCUCAACCGUGGAGGGUCAUUGGAAACUGGGAGACUUGAGUGCAGAAGAGGAAAGUGGAAUUCCAUGUGUAGCGGUGAAAUGCGUAGAGAUAUGGAGGAACACCAGUGGCGAAGGCGACUUUCUGGUCUGUAACUGACACUGAGGCGCGAAAGCGUGGGGAGCAAACAGGAUUAGAUACCCUGGUAGUCCACGCCGUAAACGAUGAGUGCUAAGUGUUAGAGGGUUUCCGCCCUUUAGUGCUGAAGUUAACGCAUUAAGCACUCCGCCUGGGGAGUACGGCCGCAAGGCUGAAACUCAAAUGAAUUGACGGA